rnacentral:rRNA from 1 species
CCUACGGGAGGCAGCAGUGGGGAAUAUUGCACAAUGGGCGCAAGCCUGAUGCAGCAACGCCGCGUGAGGGACGACGGCCUUCGGGUUGUAAACCUCUUUUAGUAGGGAAGAAGCGAAAGUGACGGUACCUGCAGAAAAAGCACCGGCUAACUACGUGCCAGCAGCCGCGGUAAUACGUAGGGUGCAAGCGUUGUCCGGAAUUAUUGGGCGUAAAGAGCUCGUAGGCGGUUUGUCGCGUCUGCUGUGAAAACCUGAGGCUCAACCUCAGACCUGCAGUGGGUACGGGCAGACUAGAGUGCGGUAGGGGAGAUUGGAAUUCCUGGUGUAGCGGUGGAAUGCGCAGAUAUCAGGAGGAACACCGAUGGCGAAGGCAGAUCUCUGGGCCGUAACUGACGCUGAGGAGCGAAAGCAUGGGGAGCGAACAGGAUUAGAUACCCUGGUAGUCCAUGCGUAACGUAGGUACGUAGAUAGUAGGACGACUCUACGUUCGUUGUGUCGUCAGCUACGCG